rnacentral:lncRNA from 1 species
GCGCGCAAUUCCCUCUCGCCGGCUAGCCUUCAGCCGCCGACGUCUCGGCCCCUCAGAAAGCCGGUCGCGCCAUGUCUUCGCCUCCCGCGGGAAAGCUAGAGACGAAAGCAGGACACCCGCCCGCCGGUGGAUUUGCUUUCCUUUGAGUCACAUUUCAAUGGCUCUUCUCUACUGGGACAAGAACAAAGGAAGCUUCAGCUUAGAAGUCCUGGACAGUGCUGGGGGGUGUGCAAGGCCGCACCCUGGCUCAGGGCGCUUGUACAGUCUGGGCAGACCCUUCUUGUGCCCCUGCCAGGCUUGCAGCUGGGGGGCUUUCCAGCCUGCUGUGCAGUGUGGGUCCAGAGCAAGCUGGCACCCCAACAUCUGAGGAGAGGCCCGGCUGACCCAGGGGAUAUGUCAUCAAUUGCUUCCUCCACCCCCUUGGGCAGGAAGCUGCUCUGAAGAGCUUUCUACAUCAAAGGCACUUUCUUCCUGGCCUUGAACUUGCCCACAGGCUGUCACUUGUGUCUCUGAGGUGCAGUCAUGCUGUUUCCUGGAAGGUUCAAGUGACGAAAGGCCUGUGGGCUGUGAUUAAGGGCGCAGGCUACCGGGGUCAGAACUUGCUGGCUGUGAUUCCAGGGCCCCUGGCUGCCCCUCCUGGGCUGGGGCGGGGAGGGGUUCUGCAUCCCAGGGUUGCUGUAAAGGGAGGGAGCUCACAGCCAGUGCUUAGAACAGUGCCUGGUGCAGGGUGACAUGAAGUGCAGCCAGGUGGAGGGGCUAUCCAGGAUCUGCUGUUCUCCAGAAGCUUCCUUAGGUGGUGAGGCACUAACGACAGGCCUGGAGGUGGUCAGCUGAGCAGGGCAGUGGAGCCUCACAUGGGCAGGCUCUUUGCAGAUGAAAGCUGGUGGGAUGCGAAUUGUGCAGAAACAUCCGCACUCUGGAGAUGCCAAGGAAGAGAAGGACAAGGACGACCAGGAGUGGGAAAGCCCCAGCCCACCCAAACCGACGGUGUUCAUCUCUGGAGCCAUCGCCCGGGGUGAUAAAGACUUUCCCCCUGCGGCUGCCCAGGUGGCCCACCAGAAGCCCCAUGCCUCCAUAGACAAGCAUCCAUGCCCGAGAACCCAGCACAUCCAGCAGCCUCGCAAGUGAUCGGCGAGCACCCACCACCCACCCUAGCCUCGGUUCCCUGACACUUGGUAUUUCCCAACAAAGAGGACUGGCAUCUUCUUCAAAACACUUCCCCGUGGAGAAAUCCAAGACAAAGCAAAACUCCCCUUCCGUUGCCUUAAAUUUCCACAUCUAACACUAGAAUCAGACCCCAAACCUUGUUUGCAGGGAGUCCUGGCUGGUGUCACUUGAGGGUCCUUGGGCCUCUUACAAGUGCCAUUAGCAGAACUUACCGGACCUGAGUGAAAUGAGCUUGUUCAGAGUUUAGCUUUGUUCCCAUUCAUCGGCUGCCCUGUCAGUGGACUUAAAAACAAGCGGGCACAGAUUUUGGAGGGUUAGAGGAAGGUCAGGGGAAAGCUCAGUCAUUUCAUGCUUUUUGGUAAGAGGACCAUAACGUCUUAACACCUAGUGGGCAGAGAAAGAGAUGAAGGCAUUGAUUACAGGAAGGCUGAGCAGGGGAGACUUUUGAAACAGGCAACAGCAUCGCUGUAUUUCCCUCCCUUGUGUGACAAGGGAUCACAGCACAGGAGACACCAAGCACUCACAGAAAGGCCACGGAAAAGCUCACAGCUUUGAAAUGGCUCUUCUUUCCCAGGAGUCAUCUUGCUGAAAAUUUUGCCUAAACCAGAUCUGUCAGUGCGGGUCCCAAGUCCAGCACAGCCCCACCAUCCACAAUGGGUUUGUAGGAAAUCAAGGAAAACCUUCCUUCUUCAAGCAUCACCUCCAGAGCUGUCUUCAGGUUCUGGCCGUGAUCACUGACCAGGUGACACAUAGCUAGUCUUGGAACCCUAGAGCAAAAGCCGUUAACGUCCGUGGAAAGACCAGAUGAAAACCUGCCCUUUGCCUCCCUAGGGAAAAGCAGAACACCAUGUGCCAUUUGAGCUACAAAAGCCUGUUUGUCAACCAGUCAAAGUGUCCAGAUUCCCUCUGCCCAAGGGCCCCGUUGCCUGGGCCCAUGUUCACUUGCCAUCUCAAACCGUCUAGCACUUUCUGUCCACAUGUCCUGCCCAGAGCCACCCUAGACUGCCCACUGGCUCAUAGCUACCAUAUGCCUUGCUUUUCUGAAAAGCCAAAGGGCUCAUUUAUUUACUCAGAGGUUCAAAUCUCCCAGAGCAGAUGCUUUGAGAGAAGGUGCAGCCUGGCAGUCCCGCUUGCCGGAGUGGUGUUUGCUGCAGCUGGGCACACACACCACAGUCCUUGUGAUGCCUUCUCCAGGUCCACAGCCAUGACUGGUAAGAGUGCCAGAGGCCAGGAGACCCAGCUCUCAUCCUUCCCUAAGGGAAAAGCCAGCACUUCUUCACAUCCUAAAAGUAAUGUUUGGUUUCCCAUCUCAUUGAUGUGGGAGCCGGGGUCUUACCCUGCAAGCGCUGUAUAGUCACGUCUCCUAGUCCUUAAUUGCUAAGAUGCUGCCAUACUCUGGGGCUGGCUUGUGGAGAUGCAGGCUAGAUGGGCAGCCACCUCCUGGAGGCAGCAUCUCUGAAGGAUGCUGAGAGCAGACAGCACCAGGUCAGGUCUGUGGACCACUACACCCUCUGCUGCAGAAAUGAAGACACGUCCUCGAUGCUUUUUAGUGUUGCAGCCAGGAUCAACUCGCUACUCCCCAUGGUGCAUCUUUCACGUCCUUUUUGCUACAUCUGGCAUGGAGCUGUGUGUUGUAGAAUCACUGAACGCAAAAGGUUCUCCUGGAUGAGUUUAUCUGUAGUUAACUUUUAAGAAUAAUAAUGGUGAUAAUAAAGCUCCUGCAUU